rnacentral:rRNA from 1 species
GAUGAACGCUGGCGGCGUGCCUAAUACAUGCAAGUCGAACGAGGUGCUUUUGUAGCAAUACGAGAGUAUCCUAGUGGCGAACGGGUGAGUAACGCGUUGGUGACCUACCCCAAAGUGUGGGAUAACAGUCCGAAAGGAUUGCUAAUACCGCAUGUGGCCUUCGGAUUUAGAAACUGAUGACUAAAGGUGCAAUUCGCUUUGGGAGGGACCUGCGUCCGAUCAGCUAAUUGGUGAGGUAAUGGCUCACCAAGGCUACGACGGGUAGGGGACCUGGAAGUGUGACCCCCCACAAAGGAACUUACACACGGUCCAUACGCCUACGGGUGGCAGCAGUAGGGAAUAUUGCACAAUGGGCGAAAGCCUGAUGCAGAAACGCCGCGUGUGCGAUGAAGGCCUUCGGGUCGUAAAGCACUUUUCUGGGAGAUGAGCAAGGACAGUAUCUCAGGAAUAAGUCUCGGCUAACUACGUGCCAGCAGCCGCGGUAAGAC